rnacentral:rRNA from 1 species
GCUUAACACAUGCAAGUCGAACGGUGAAGCCAAGCUUGCUUGGUGGAUCAGUGGCGAACGGGUGAGUAACACGUGAGCAACCUGCCCUGGACUCUGGGAUAAGCGCUGGAAACGGCGUCUAAUGCUGGAUAUGAGCCUCUUCCGCAUGGUGGGGGUUGGAAAGAUUUUUUGGUCUGGGAUGGGCUCGCGGCCUAUCAGCUUGUUGGUGAGGUAAUGGCUCACCAAGGCGUCGACGGGUAGCCGGCCUGAGAGGGUGACCGGCCACACUGGGACUGAGACACGGCCCAGACUCCUACGGGAGGCAGCAGUGGGGAAUAUUGCACAAUGGCGGAAGCCUGAUGCAGCAACGCCGCGUGAGGGAUGACGGCCUUCGGGUUGUAAACCUCUUUUAGCAGGGAAGAAGCGAAAGUGACGGUACCUGCAGAAAAAGCGCCGGCUAACUACGUGCCAGCAGCCGCGGUAAUACGUAGGGCGCAAGCGUUAUCCGGAAUUAUUGGGCGUAAAGAGCUCGUAGGCGGUUUGUCGCGUCUGCUGUGAAAUCCCGAGGCUCAACCUCGGGCCUGCAGUGGGUACGGGCAGACUAGAGUGCGGUAGGGGAGAUUGGAAUUCCUGGUGUAGCGGUGGAAUGCGCAGAUAUCACGAGGAACACCGAUGGCGAAGGCAGAUCUCUGGGCCGUAACUGACGCUGAGGAGCGAAAGGGUGGGGAGCAAACAGGCUUAGAUACCCUGGUAGUCCACCCCGUAAACGUUGGGAACUAGUUGUGGGGACCAUUCCACGGUUUCCGUGACGCAGCUAACGCAUUAAGUUCCCCGCCUGGGGAGUACGGCCGCAAGGCUAAAACUCAAAGGAAUUGACGGGGACCCGCACAAGCGGCGGAGCAUGCGGAUUAAUUCGAUGCAACGCGAAGAACCUUACCAAGGCUUGACAUACACCAGAACGGGCCAGAAAUGGUCAACUCUUUGGACACUGGUGAACAGGUGG